rnacentral:rRNA from 1 species
UACGUAGGAGACGAGCGUUGUCCGGAAUCACUGGGCGUAAAGCGCGUGUAGGCGGGUCCGCAAGUCUGCUGUGAAAAACUCCUGGCUUAACCGGGAGAGGUCGGUGGAAACUGCGAACCUGGAGGACGGUAGAGGCUGGUGGAAUUCCCGGUGUAGUGGUGAAAUGCGUAGAGAUCGGGAGGAACACCUGUGGCGAAGGCGGCCAGCUGGGCCGGACCUGACGCUGAGACGCGAAGGCGUGGGGAGCGAACGGGG